CUGCACUGAAAAGCCGAAUGAUUAAAGUUGCCGCAGAUCUGACAUUGUGUGCCAGAUUUCGGAAUGUAAGGUUGAUGGGUCGGAGUAUAGGGUUGAGAAUUAUUAGGUUGAGAAUGCGAAUAGGCUCCAGGAGAUUCACGACCAGGAUAUGAAUUGAAUCUACCGUGCGGUCCCCGACCACCGCGAUAUCUACCUCCACGACCUUCACGGCUUCUGCAUCCACGAUUUGCAUAAAGAGCUUCACCAUCU
rnacentral:lncRNA from 1 species